UAAUCUUUCAAAAACCACAGUGCAGCACUUCUCUGCAUGAAGAAAGAAACAUUUCAGCUUAUAUCAGCUGUUGAUUACCAAAAAAUGUAUUUUACUGUCAACAUUAUGAGCAAACAGGCCCUUGUUUAUCUUAUAGUUCACAAAACAAUUUAUGACAUUCUUAAAAAUGCUCAUUUGAAUGCAUUCAUGUAAAGGACGUCCUGCGGGCUAUUGUACAAUGCUAAACCAAUAUCCUGUACAAGGUAAUCAUCAGGACAUUUUUUAAAUAAACCUUUAAAUCAAUGCAUUUCAGUUUAUUAGUAUAAUGUCAAUUUUCAAGAGGGAUUUGACACAAAUUCACCUCCAGUUUUUCUGACUUUUAUCUAUCCUGACCACUAUCUUCAUCUUAAUACGCUAUGCUAGUCUGUCAUAUGAACUCCUCUGUUUUUCUGAGCUUGACAUCAGAUGACCAGAUAAAAAAAGACCCCGUUUUUAUCAUAGUUUUUAGUUUCUAAGUGUUCCAUGUAUUCCUGAAGUUUUGUUUGAUUUCUAAAUGUACUCAAACGUAAUAAGUUUACUCGCACAAUGUGAAUGUUAUUCCUUAAUGCACAAAACAAAGAUAAAUCUGCUUCCAUGGCUGCCAGUAGUGCACUGUCAACUUCCAUAAUCCUAAAUAACUACAGUCAUAAUAAUGCCUGUGAUCAACCAAAGUGCUUCAUAGCCAUAAAGGCCCCCAGCACCUAAUUUAUCAUACAUUUUGCAGUUUCACACUUGUUCACAGAGUGCCCUUCAUGGAGCAUUAAUGUUGGUUUGUGAGGAGAACCUUUGACAGUCAGUCUGAUGCACCUUCCACAGCUUGCAUUCAUGCCCAACCUGACGACAAAGGCGAGACAACCCUAGCACCCAAAUGUGACUGUUUGGUUUGGGGCUGACACCCUGCACUGUAAAUAAAUGUUUUAAAUUCUUGUCAGAGAUUGUUUUGCCACUGCUGGCCCUCAGCAAUGACAUAAGAGUAAGGGUUAGAGGGGCAACAUCCCACCCUGUGGCCCUGUGGAGGCCAGUCACAAUGAAUAUGAGGAAAUGAGGAAGAGAUCCAGUAAAUAAUAGUUUACAUUGUGUCCCUCAGCAAGCAGAGGUUGGGGUUGGGCUGGAGGGAAUGGUAGAGGGAGGAGGAAUGGGGGACUCUGCAUAAUAUGCCAGGCCCUGACAUGGCACCCAGACCCAGAGCCUUCACCCCUGCAGAAACAUCACCCUCUCUUCCACAAUUUGUGCACUUAACACUUCAGUUUGUACAUGAGAGGUGCUUAUUUCCCAGUGCUGGCUUUUUCCCCUUGCAGUGAUGCCUCUGAGCUACGGACACACACAAAAUCUGGUACGGGUGUCUCUCCAUGAGGCCGCUUGCUUUAACAUCUUAUAGUUACACAAGUGAUACUUUAUAGAACUGUACGUGUUACUUUUGCCCACUGACAUUGGCGCAGUGAGCAGUGGGUGUGGGGGUUAGUUUGUGUGACAAAUGGGUCAUGUGUUCACCGGCAUCCUGAGACUAUCAUGGUAAAACUGCAUUUCAUCUCUGAAAUUCUACAAGGCACUUAAACAGGUUUAAUAAAUAAAUAUAACUAGUACCAUACAGCUUUGUUGUAGCAGAUGGGAUACAUUCACAGCUUUUGUCCAAGAACUAGGGCUAUUUUAUCACUGGGAUAUGCAUUGGUAUUACCUGAGGAUGAGGUAAUAUGUUUCUGCUAUGAAUUUUUUUUUAUCAUAAGCUCAAGGUUAUUCUUGUAAGACUUUAUUUAUGACAGAGACAAGGUGCUGUAUUGAUAGAGUAAGAAACGGGAUAAAUAUGUGUAAUUGAAUAGAAAAACCCAAUGAUUGGCACAACCCUACUAUAUUAAGGAGUAUAUACAGAUGUAGGUCUUUUUUUCUGUGUUUAGCUGUGGCACCUUCCUGGAGGGGGGCCAUUGGUCAAGCUGCUGCUGCCAACAACUUAAUGCUCACCUUCUACAGAUGAUACACUUGUCUUUAAGUGUUUAACCCUGUCUCUCCUAGACAUAGCUACUGGCUGAGCUUCUACUGCGACUAACUGUAUGUGCUCUCUUUCAUACUCUAGACUUUAAAACUGGCUUAGAGUUAAUCUGCUUAGUUGUCUGUCUCUCCUAGAUAAAGCCACUAAAGGAGCUACAACCAUUAAUGUUUUACUUUUUUCCUAUAGAAAGUGCUCCUGGAUCAGUGCUUCUGUGUUCUUUUUGUGUCUCUGCUCUGCUCUCUCAAACCCACAGUUGGUCAUGGCAGAUGGCCACUCACAGAGCCUGCUUCUGCUGCAACUACUUACCAGCUGUCCUCUGCCGCACCUGACCGCUCCAUCUGCCUGCUCGCUCUCCAACAUAACUACAGACUCUCAGUAUUGGAUACUCCCCAACCACAAGGCUCACACAUGGAUCAUACCCAGCCUCAAAGAGCUCCCACGGAUUGGCACAGUAAGCAAUCACACUAUCGACAAGCAAUUCAAGGUAAACUUUUUUUGAAGAACCAGUCUAACUCCAACUCUCCUCCGUAGAAGACCAGUUUUCCCACGCCCCGAUUCCCAUACACCUUUUUUUGCUGUAUAAAUAAAUAUUAUUGAGAACUUUGAAUCUGUCUCCGAGAGUUGUUCUGCAUGUGGGUCAGGAAGAUUCAGCACAAUAUGACAGCUACAUGUUUUUCCAGGAGGAGUGAAUGCUGCAAUUCACUUAUGCAACCUGCUGGGUUUCCUUAGAUAGAAAAAUGUUUAACCUAUUUGAAUAAUAAACUGAAUCUGACUGCACUGUUUGAUACUUAGGAUUAAUUGCAAUGUAUGUACCCAAUUUGAAAAAAUUGUGAUUCGAUUUAAUUGACUUUGUAACGUGCCUUGAGACGAAAUUGAAAUAAUUUGAAAACCGAAUUUUAAAGUAAAAUAUGUUGUAUCAAAGAUGAAGCUGUUAGGUUCUGAGUGCUGUGGGGUUUUUCUUCUCCACCUCUUCCCCUCCCUGUUUAUUUCCUCCUCACUGCAGGUGAGAUCCACCCCUGCUCUGCUGGCUGACACCCAUGGUCAUGGUUUUCUCCUCAGCGCUGCUCUACACACCUGCAGUUGAUUAUUUCCUGAUGAUCUGCAAGCUUUUUAAGCCGGCCUUGGACCUGUAUUCAGCGCUAGUCCGUUGACCUAACUUGGUGGUUUUGAAAAUAUUUUUGAGAAACCUCACUCUGGUGUUCAUUCCCUCUUCAAGUACCCACCUGGAAAGCCCUGCUCACUUUCAGGCAGUUGACCACACCUGGACUCACCCACUUCCUUCCCCUCCAUUGUGGAUUUACUCUGUCCUAUGGCUUCUUGGUUUGGCUCCUCAGCACCCUGACUCCAAUUGACCUUUCCAAGCCCAGGCGUCAGCACUUAAAGCAAGCCAAUUCCAUUACUAUCAAACAUACCACUAAACAUCUCCUUGGUUGAGUCCUGCCUACCAGUUCCCAUUUCUUCUGUAGCUAGAUCCUACUCAUUCCCUGAAAUUAACUUCUCAGACUUCUGAUAAACCUUGUUGUUUUGACUUUUUGUCGCAGAGUUUUGGUUUUCAUUAUUUGGGUCUGGAUGGAGCUCUGCAUUGUGACAGAAGCUUAAUAUUUUUGUGAGGCCUUCAGAGUUUUGGAUUUUGAAAUUCUGGAAAUUUCUCUGCUUUCUGUGAAAUGUCACUUUUUAUCAGCCUUGCACGGCUAUUUCCUUUAUGUUCUUUCUCUUGCUAGUACUCUACUGCAUGCAGGUUUCAUUAAACUUUAAAUGCUAUUCUUAAAACCCGUUUCAUCUGAUGUUCAGUUGUAAAGGUACAAUUGCAGAAUAAUGGAAAGAAGGCAAAUUGAGAAAACAAUAGAUGCCAUUCAACUAUAUCUAUCUUAAACCAAGUAAAAACUUUACAUUACAUUAUGUCAGUGUGGUACUUUGCUUUUGCACCUAGAUCUAAAAUACAGGACUAAGAAGCCAAAAAAAGCCUACUGACAUGUAUCAUGCACGUUCCUCAGAACUGUGCGUCUGCAGUUUUUUAGCUGUUAAGACAGCAUUUAAGAAAUAUUAUCAUUAAAGUGCUAAAGCCACA